rnacentral:rRNA from 1 species
AGCGGAGGAAAAGAAACUAACAAGGAUUCCCCUAGUAACGGCGAGUGAAGCGGGAUGAGCUCAAGCUUAAAAUCUCUGUCACAUAUUUAUUAUGUGCGGCGAAUUGUAGUCUAUAGAAGCGUGGUCAGUGUAGGCACUUGAGAUAAGUUCCUUGAAAAAGGACAGCAUGGAGGGUGAAACUCCCGUUCAUACUUGAGUAGCUUAUGCGUACGACCCGUUUUCUUUGAGUCGCGUUGUUUGAGAAUGCAGCGCAAAGUAGGUGGUAAAUUCCAUCUAAAGCUAAAUAUUGGUGCGAGACCGAUAGCGAACAAGUACCGUGAGGGAAAGAUGAAAAGAACUUUGAAAAGAGAGUUAAAGAGUACCUGAAACUGCUGAAAGGGAACCGGAUCGUUUCUAGUGUCUAUAAUCUGUGACAUAUUUCAUUGGGGAGUGUGUGCGUGUGUAUACUAUGGCAGUGGCUUUUUUGGCUGCGCUUGGUGUGCGUGCUGUAUGUGCUUACUGGUGCCCUGUGUUGCGGUGGGACGUCAAGGUCGGUUUGUAUACUGCGGGAAAUGGCUAUUGAGGAGGUAGGGCUUACGCUUGCGUUUGUCUAUUAUAUCUUGGUAGUUGUGUCGUGGUUGAGACUGAGGUGUCUACAACGUGCUUAUGAGUGGGACUGUGUCUCCGUGUGCGCCGUGUGCGGAUAGCUUGCUAUGUGUGUGUGGUGGUGUGUGGAUUGAUGCGGGCUUUAACUUGUUGCCGUUCGGGACGUUGGCGAAAUAGAGCGAUUUGACCCGUCUUGAAACACGGACCAAGGAGUCUAACAUGUGUGCAAGUGUUAGGGUGUGGAAACCCAAGCGCGAAAUGAAAGUAAAGGAUAGUGUAAACUGUCUGAGGUAGGAAAUGCUGCGGAUUUCGGUCUGUGGCGUGGCACUAUCGACCGAUCAUGAACCUUCGUGGUGAAAGAUUUGAGUUUGAGCACAUAUGUUGGUACCCGAAAGAUGGUGAACUAUGCCUGAGUAGGGUGAAGC